ensembl:lncRNA
CGGGAACGCCCUCCCGGAAUGAAGCGCUUCCCGGUGCCUUCAAGAUGAGGAAAUGGCAAUGGCACCCACCAAGCAGCUGUGGUUUGGGAGCUGGGAUAUCGCUAUGUGGAAGCCCGUGGCACUUUGCUCUGGAUGCUGAACAGAGGAGGAAGAAGGGAAGAGAGCCUGGGCAGCUGGCUGGGAAAAGGCAGAGGGUGCUUUCCUGUCGCUGCCUGCUCUUGCUAAGCAUUGGGAGAAGAGGGAGAAUGUGGAAGGAGAGUGCACACCUGGGAGCUGCAUCCACUGGCUGACCAUCUGGGCAUACUACAGCAAAUAGCCUGUGCUUGGGUGAAUGGAUGAGAAGUUGGAUGAACCAAUAAAUGAGGUGAGACAGAAGCUUGGAGCAAGGCCCCUUCCGUGGAUUUUGUGUGUGUGUGUGUGUGCGCCAGGGUCUUGCUAUGUACUUCAGGCUGGCCUUGCACUCACUGUGUAGAACAGCCUGGCCUCCAACUCAAAGUGAUCCUCCUGUCUCAGCCUCCCGAGUGGUGGGAUCACAGGCUUGCAGGCCACGCCCAGCUUCUAUGGACUCUUUCUGGUGUUGAGGGUGGAACCUGGGUCUGACACAAACUAGGCAAGGCUCUACCGCUGAGCGCCUCCAGCCACUCACCAUAUCUGCGGCGAAUAAGACUCAGGCUGACGCCGGACGUGAGAAGCCCCUUACCAGCUACGGGUGGAGGGAGGCUGCUUGCCCUCUAAUCUGGACCCGCUGUCAGUGCUCAGCUGCUGUUUGUCUGAGCUAAGUUCCUCUAUCUGGAGACCUCACUGUCUAGGGACCUGUAAGUGGAGGGUCCCGCCUCACAGAGCGGAUCGCUCCUCCCCGAGAGAGCUCGGGAGCUCUCCCUGGGAGCCGCUCUGGAGGCGGAUGGUUCCUGUCCAGCUGCGCAGCCAGCAUGGACUCCAGUUCCCGCGCAGCCACCACCUAAUGUUCUGUCCUCAGCACACGGCACUCAGCCGCCCAGUGCCUCAGUUUCCUCCUCCGGAAAGGAGCC